rnacentral:misc_RNA from 1 species
GAAAUGCGAUACGUAAUGUGAAUUGCAGAAUUCAGUGAAUCAUCGAAUCUUUGAACGCAUAUUGCGCUCUUUGGUAUUCCGAAGAGCAUGCUUGUUUGAGUAUCAGUAAACACCUCAACCAAAAUUCUUUUUUUUUGAAUUUUGGGUGGAUUUGAGCAAACCCAACGGCAAAUGUGUGCUGGCGGGUUGCUUAAAAUGCAGGUGCAGCUGUGACAAGAACAGACUGAGCUAAAAGCAUAUCUAUUUAGUCCGUUUCGGCGGAUUAUCUCUAAUUUGCUGCAGCUACUCUAAGGUCCUCUUGUGUGAGCUGACUGAUGCAGGAUUUUGUUAGAGCUUUUCUUCUUCUUUUUUAGAAGAAAAGGAUUCUUUCAAAAACUCGAUCUCAAAUCAAGUAAGACUACCCGCUGAACUUAA